UGAAACAACCUCUGGUUAUUCUUUGG
rnacentral:piRNA from 1 species